rnacentral:rRNA from 1 species
UACGGAAGGUGCGAGCGUUAAUCGGAAUUACUGGGCGUAAAGCGCACGUAGGUGGUUUUAUAAGUCGGAUGUGAAAGCCCCGGGCUUAACCUGGGAAUUGCAUCUGAUACUGUCUGACUAGAGUAUGCUAGAGGGAAGUGGAAUUCCAGGUGUAGCGGUGAAAUGCGUAGAUAUCUGGAGGAACACCAAUGGCGAAGGCAACUUCCUGGGGCAAUACUGACGCUGAGGCGCGAAAGCCAGGGGAGCAAACGGG